AAACUUUCAACAACGGAUCUCUUGGUUCUGGCAUCGAUGAAGAACGCAGCGAAAUGCGAUACGUAAUGUGAAUUGCAGAAUUCCGUGAAUCAUCGAAUCUUUGAACGCACAUUGCGCCCGCCAGCAUUCUGGCGGGCAUGCCUGUUCGAGCGUCAUCU
rnacentral:rRNA from 1 species